UUCAACCUUUUUCCGACAGUUGGCCUCUGUGCAUUCUCGGCGAGCGACGGCAGUGCAAGGAGCACUCUGCAUUGUCAAUGGUGAAGUUACAAACACUAUAAAGAGUGAAGGGUGGUGCGAGGAUCAGAGUGCAUAGGCCAGAGAUUAAAGUCAAUAUUUUCGUUCCUAAUGUGGAGGAAAAGAACUUAGGUAUUUUGAAAAUUUUGUCAUUUUAAAGUGAAUUUCUCCCAACACCACCACCACCUAUUGAUGAGAACAUUCCACUUUCAAAGAUGCCUUUGUUAAGGUCUAGUCUUUAUCUCCCAAAGAAGCGUUUUGAGGUUUUUUUUUCUUCAUUUUUUUAUAUCGUAUCAUUUGUAUAUAUGAUUCGGUUUUAAUAUUUUUUUGUACUUGUUUAUUUGUAUGUAGGAUCAUUUUAAUAAGUAGUUCCACAAUCAAAUCAAUGAGAUAGAUGUAAAGUUGAGUGAAGUCCAAGCUUCCCAGAAACUUAUUCUUGGUGACGUUAUUUCUUUGAAGAAAAGUUUUCAAGCUGAUUUUGCUAGAAUGAUUGAUUUGCUUGUAGACAUUAAGACUGUUGUAUUUGUCAAAACUUAUGGUGGAGGUUUAGCGUCCGAAAAUAAAAUGGACUUUGACAGUGUUUCUUAGGUAACCAGUUUUUUGUGGCAUUGUCUUUUCUGUAAAUAUAUGCUCUCUAUCUUUUUUUUUUUUAUAAUUAGGAUUAUUUUGAUGAUGGUUGUGUGGAAGGGUACCAAGAUGUUGAUCUUGGUGAAGAGUUAGGGGCUGGCUUUGAGCAUUAUGUUAAGAUUGCUUCAAAUUUUAUUACUCCUGUUAAUGUAUGUUUUUUUAAUCAUUUAUUGUAUGAGUAAGUUCUUUAUUUUUUC